CGACGCCAAUCCCGCGACAGCGUGGCCCGCUGUGGAGGAAACAUCAUCCAGAGCUGCAGCGUGGGUCCGCUGCUCCAGCUGCUCCAGCUGCUGCUCUCUCAGAAUGACCUUUCCCCUGAUGUCCACAUGGCUGCAGCUGUCACACCUGAGACCAGAGCCUGAUCACCAUCCUCUCUGACGUCCCAGAUGAUCUUGGAUUCUGUGGCCAUGUAUGUGCCUCUGGCUGACGUCAACACUGUACCAUUCUGUCCAAAGGGUCUAGCCACUCCUGCAGAUGCUGCCAGAUGAUCCAGGGAUUUGCACCAUAACCAGGCCCAAGACUUGAUUUGGAUUUACUGAUAAACAUUGAAACUGUGCUGAAAGAUCCUUUUCUCUGUAUAUUCUGCUGUGAACCGCAUGCUGAACACGGAAAACAUCGGCGAGACCAUGAAUCUCUAGAAGAGCAGCACUGGUGAAAAGGCUGCUGAACCGCAUCCGGUGUGGCAGCUCUCAUCUAACAUAGGCCCAGAAAUGUAAAGCAAGCUGUUCCGCGGCCGAUUUGCAGCCGUUCAAGCUGUUUUGCCGUUCCACAGACGAUGUGGCCUGGGAGUUAGAGUACAGAUGAGACUGUGCUGACAUCUCAAGCAGUGCCUCUGCUCCUCUACCUGUAAAAACUGUAGUCACCUAUUUUCUACUGCUCAACCUCAUUCAAAACUCCAUCAUCACCAUGAGCCUCAGUAUAAAUCCAGAUAUCCAAAAUCUGGUGGGAUAUGUGCCCUCGCAGCUUCAAUGGUUAUGACACUUCUGAUAAAAUGUUUGUUCGAGCUUAUGUAAAUCUAUCGUACCAUUGUUAUCAAAGCUGCUUUGCUUUUACUUUGCUUUACUUUCAACUGUUGGCUAGUUUGCAUGAAAUUUGUUCACUUUUGCCUCCUGGCAGGUAGAAGAUAUAGAUGUUAUAACCUGAAUUUUCCUAUAGCACCACCAUAGUUUGAGAUCUGUAGCCUUGAGUAAAAUGUUAGUCACUUAUUAACCCCAGAGAUUGAAUCAAAGCCAUCAUCCACUCCAAAAUUCAGUUUGUUGAUAAAUUGACGACGGCCAUUUAGCCAUAUCUUUAUAUUGUGUUUUGUUCGCUAAAAUACUGUAAUAAUGCUAAAUAGCUAAAAACAUGUAGUGAACAUAUUAAGCCGUAUAGGCCUACCCUCUAAACAUCAUAACAUCAAUCAUGAACAUUGUCCUGUGAACAUGUUUUAAUGCUGACAUUAUUAGCAUUUAGUACUGACUUGCCUAAGCAGAGCCUAACUGAGCUGCUAGCACGGCUGCAGACUCUGUUCUUUUAACUUUAACCACGACAAAUCAUUAAAACUGACCUUACCCACAGCUGCUUAACACUGUUUGACACAAACUAAUGAAUGAGAAAUGUGAAAAUGUUUCCAAUUUGUUACCCAGUCCUCUUGUGGAGAAACACAAUUUUAACCCAAUUUCUGUCUACAAGGUAUCUCUAAUUCAGAGUUUGUUCUCAUUUCGCAAAUGUU